rnacentral:lncRNA from 1 species
GACACGCGAUAAUGAUUUAGUAGCACUGUCCUGCGGCGCUUAUAAUUUAGUUGCACUGUAUCGCGGCGUAAACGAAACUCGCGCGCAAUAAGUGUAUUUUCGUGUUACGGACACGCGUCAGCUGCGCAUUUUCUUUCUUUUGAGCCUACGCGUGGCCGCGGAAGGGCCAGUGGAUACCUAGUUUGGCACAGUGCCAACUGCCAGAAAUGACCUGCUAGACUGUGACGAGCUCAAACCAUUCGGAACACCUGCGUCGACCUGUCUCAGACACCAACUCAUUUAUGUUAUAUUUUGUUUACCUUCAGUCCAUCAUGCCUGUUUUUAUUUUCUAAUACACAGCAGCACUGACA